AAACGUUUUAGAAUGAUGACGCAUAGUUCAGUUGAUCCUACUGUGAUAACUCACUUAAAUUGAAAUUGGUCUUUCACCCCUACCUGACCCAAACGUUU
rfam:Anopheles darlingi Cont8062, whole genome shotgun sequence.